AUCUAAUAUGGUAUUCUGGUUGUUUAUGCAGCUGAAGAAAAUGUGCAAGGAGGGCGCAUAUUGGGGUGCUGUUGCUGGAGUGUAUGUAGGCAUGGAGUAUGGAGUGGAAAGGGUCCGCGGAGAGUAUGACUGGAUGCGGCAGCUCAAGGGCGAGGUCGACAUCUUCUCCAGGGCCGACGGGUCGGCGCUGUUCGAGAUGGGCAACACCAGGGUCAUCGCCGCC